UGGGGAAUCUUGGACAAUGGGCGCAAGCCUGAUCCAGCCAUGCCGCGUGGAUGAUGAAGGCCUUAGGGUUGUAAAAUCCUUUCGCCGAGGACGAUAAUGACGGUACUCGGAGAAGAAGCUCCGGCUAACUUCGUGCCAGCAGCCGCGGUAAUACGAAGGGGGCUAGCGUUGUUCGGAUUUACUGGGCGUAAAGCGCGUGUAGGCGGGUUGGAAAGUUGGGGGUGAAAUCCCGAGGCUCAACCUCGGAACUGCCUCCAAAACUUCCAGCCUGGACUCAAGUAGAGGCAAGUGGAAUUGCGAGUGUAGAGGUGAAAUUCGUAGAUAUUCGCAGGAACACCAGUGGCGAAGGCGACUUGCUGGACUUGUAGUGACGCUGAGACGCGAAAGCGUGGGGAGCAAACAGGAUUAGAUACCCCCGUAGUCCCUGAGCGGGCUGGCAAGGCGCAU
rnacentral:rRNA from 1 species